ACUUUGCCAUACGGUGUAAUGUCUGCCAUGGAGAUUUUCGAACAUGUUAGAGAAGUUGAUAGCUAUCCUAAUAUCUCCAUUGUUUCUCACAUUUUAUUUGAUAUGCCUAUGAUGGUCGCAUCAGUCAAAAGAAGCUUUUCAAAUUUAUAAUUACUGAAGAACUAUUUGAGGUCAGCAAUGACUCAGGAGAGGUUAAAUAGCUUGGCAACAUUAUGCGCCGAGAAAAAAAUAUAG
rnacentral:rRNA from 1 species